UACAGAGGGGGCAAGCGUUGUUCGGAAUUACUGGGCGUAAAGGGCGCGUAGGCGGCCGAGUAAGUCCGACGUGAAAUCUGGAGGCUCAACCUCCAGCGGUCGUUGGAAACUACUCGGCUAGAGUCCGGAAGAGGAGAGUGGAAUUCCUGGUGUAGCGGUGAAAUGCGCAGAUAUCAGGAAGAACACCGAUGGCGAAAGCAGCUCUCUGGGACGGUACUGACGCUGAGGCGCGAAAGCGUGGGGAGCGAACAGG
rnacentral:rRNA from 1 species